UACAGAGGUCCCAAGCGUUGUUCGGAUUCACUGGGCGUAAAGGGUGCGUAGGUGGUGGGGUAAGUCGGAUGUGAAAUCUCGGAGCUCAACUCCGAAAUGGCAUUGGAAACUACCCUGCUUGAGGGUCGGAGGGGGGACUGGAAUUCUCGGUGUAGCAGUGAAAUGCGUAGAUAUCGAGAGGAACACCAGUGGCGAAGGCGAGUCCCUGGACUGGUACUGACGCUGAUGCGCGAAAGCGUGGGGAGCAAACAGG
rnacentral:rRNA from 1 species